rnacentral:lncRNA from 1 species
GAGAAACUCUUGGUAAAUUAAGUACAUUCCAAAAUGAUCUGCCUAUUUAUAAUAUUAAAGAGACACUUUUCCUUUUAGGAAUCCUUUUAGGAUUAGCAAUCAAAAGACUUUAGAUACCUGCAGGGGAUUACUUCUUUGCUGGAAGAGAAAUGAGCUGACACAGACGGAUGUCACCACAUUCCUUCUCUAAUAUACUGAAAAGUAUGUGCACUCUUAAACUGAGAUAGUGGGGGAAAGAUCAAAACUGAGCUUAUGACUCAUAAUGGCAGCUCCACUUCCAGAAUUCAGGCACAGAGCUGUUUUUCUGCUACUCCACCCAAUCAGUUUCUCUAUCUCUGAUGCUUCUGCCAUAUGCUGUUCCUGUGGCCUUGUCUACAGUAGAGAUUUCUCUGAAAAUUCCCCACAUUGUUAGCACCAGUUCAUCAAUGAAGAAGCCUGUUGUACACGAGGAAUUGGACCUGAUGACAUUGGUCUCACAAGAGGCUCAAUCAACUACAACUGAGGAUGAAACAUGAUCAUUCCUAACACCCUUGUAGUGUGUUUAUUUGGCGCGACGCACACUGGGCAACAAACCCAAUUGUUGCCUCCCUCAGGCACCUUGUGCCAGCAACAGUUUUUGGUGCCCAAUGUGGGGCUCGAGGCUAACAUUUCACCUUGCCCGGAUCCCUCCUGGGGUCGACGACUUGUGGCAACGACCGACGCCCAGCGCGCACUGGUGGUUUCAUCGGGGGCCUCGGCAGAGAUGUGGUUUGAUCGACCCCAGAGGGCACAACAGUGCAACGCACUCAAAUAGUGAAGAAGCGAUCAUGGGCGACGGUGUGGAACCGGUCCCUCGGACAAGAUUGCCCAACACCCCUGCUAGGACGAGACCUGCUUUGUCGAUUAGGUGCAUCACUGCAUUUUACCCAGGAUGAAAUAACCCUUGCAUUGCCCCCUGAAAAUGCAUAGAUAAUGACCCUCGCGAUUGAACCCUCGGCUAUGAAUGCCCCCCCGGAGUGGAACCAGUGGAAAGACCAGGUAUACCCUUUGGUGUGGGCAAGGGGGGUCCCUGGAAAGGCUACACAUCAAACCCCCAUUAAUAUCAAACCACUGCCGGGAAAAGGUCCGGUAUGAAUAAAGCAGUACCCAAUCAAAAAGGAAGCCA